rnacentral:rRNA from 1 species
UACAGAGGUCCCAAGCGUUGUUCGGAUUCAUUGGGCGUAAAGGGUGCGCAGGCGGCUAGGUAAGUCAGGUGUGAAAUCUCGGGGCUCAACCCCGAAACUGCACUUGAUACUGCUUGGCUCGAGGACUGGAGGGGUGAUCGGAAUUCACGGUGUAGCAGUGAAAUGCGUAGAUAUCGUGAGGAAGGCCAGCGGCGAAGGCGGAUCACUGGACAGUUCCUGACGCUCAGGCACGAAGGCCAGGGGAGCAAACGGG